CCUACGGUAGGCAGCAGUGGGGAAUAUUGGACAAUGGGGGAAACCCUUAUCCAGCGACGCCGCGUGAGGGAAGAAGGUUCUCGGAUUGUAAACCUCUUUCAGUGGGGACGAUAAUGACGGUACUCACGGAGGAAGCCACGGCUAACUACGUGCCAGGAGCCGCUGUACUAAGUAGGGGGCCAGCGUUGUCCGGAAUUACUGGGGGUAAAGGGAGCGUAGGCGGGAUGUCAAGUCAGAAGUGAAACUUAUGGGCUCAACUCAUAACCUGCUUGUGAAACUGAUAUUCUUGAGUGACGGAGAGGCAAGCGGAAUUCGUAGUGUAGCGGUGAAAUGCGUAGAUAUUAGGCGGAACACCAGUGGCGAAGGCGGCGUGCUGGGCUGUUACUGACGCUGAGGCACGAAAGCGUGGGGAGCAAACAGGAUUAGAUACCCGUGUAGUC
rnacentral:rRNA from 1 species